ACUAACGCUGGCGGCGCGCCUAAUACAUGCAAGUCGAACGAUGUAGCAAUACAUAGUGGCGCACGGGAGAGUAACACGUGGAUAAUCUCCCCUCGAGAGAAGAAUAACUAGUCGAAAGAUUGGCUAAUACUUCAUAAGACCACAGAGACUAAUGUCUCAGAGGUAAAAGUAGUAAUACGCUUGAGGAUGAGUCUGCGUCCCAUUAGCUAGUUGGUGAGGUAACGGCUCACCAAGGCGACGAUGGGUAGCUGGUCUGAGAGGAUGAUCAGCCUCACUGGAACUGACAUACGGUCCAGACUCCUACGGGAGGCAGCAGUAGGGAAUAUUGCACAAUGGAGGAAACUCUGAUGCAGCGACGCCGCGUGAGUGAUGAAGGACUUCGGUUUGUAAAGCUCUGUUGUCAGGGAAUAAAAAAAUGAAUGUACCUGACGAGAAAGGACCGGCUAACUUCGU
rnacentral:rRNA from 1 species